GUGUUUGCCAUAAACUGGAAUAUAUGUAACAAUCAUCCUCUGGCAACAGACACAUCAGAUUUUUGUUAUUCCCAAGCUUAGUUAAUGAGGAAAACCCCUUAAAUCCAAGUGAGAAGAUCAGAGCAACAUUUGUUGUUCACUAUCACUAUUUACAUGGAAAGAAAUUACGGGAUUUCCCAGCAAGAAAAACUAAAAUCUCCAGCUGAAACUAGUAUGAAAAUGGAUUCAGCUAUCUUUUCCAAGAACAUGAGGAUGGUUAAACCAUCCAAGGACCUUGGAAAUUUAUCAUCUGACUUCAACCUCAACCUUUCGGCACAAACUAAAAAGAAAAUCAAGACAGGCAACAAGAAACAAUUGCUUUCAUCACCUGAAUCCCAUUCUUUUUGAUCCAUAUGCUCUGUGGUUUUCAUUGCCUGAAAGCACCCGUUAUGAAAGACCUACAAGGAGACAGAGUCAACUGCAAUGUUACUGUUCUUUUAAAUGUUAGUCUCACAAAAAGAAGAAAGAAAAAUGAUGUCAGAGACAAAAAGGUUACCUAUUUCUUUGCAUGUCUAAGGCUCAGACAGAGAACUGCAUAAAGUUCCUAAAUUCAAGAAAGGAAGCCAUUACAAGUAAAAUACAUUUAAAAACACAGUAAGAAAUAAAAGUUUGAUAGUGAAAUCUGAAUAUAUGAGGUAACAGAACUAAUUACUUUGCUCUAUAUAGCUUAUAGAGAACAAAUAUUCAAAAAUAUUUCAAAUGCAGAAAGCAUUGUCUACAUUAAGGCCAUUUUAACAGACUGGAUUACUUUGAUAUAUUUCUUACUUGUUUUUUACUUUACAAUCUAAGUUAUAUGAAGUGAGAAGACAUUUUAAAAAUAAAAUAUGACUGACAAACACUUCAAACAAGUUGAUGUUUUCAUGCUUGCUCCCUUUUUUUCAACAUAGUCAAGUAAAAAUGAAUGGACCAAAAAUUCACUCUGCAAUUUCAAGUCUUUUGAAAACUGGCACAUGAAGAGAAAAAAUGCUGAUGUCAUUACAUCAAUGCCUCUGCACAAAAUUUUCCCACCAUUAUCUUGAAAGCUCUAAAUGACUCUCUUUGGGAAAAGAGAGUAGAGGUAUUUUUAAAUGCAGUAAAUGGAUAGAGGUUUUAAACACUCAUAUAAAGCAUGUUCAUUACAAAUACUGGGGAUUCAAAUGAGCAUGCAGAGCUUCCCACUGUAUGUACACGUGACAAACUUCUUGUUGCACUCAUUUGACUUAAGAAGCCUCCAAAGAAUCGGGUAAGAUAUGAGAGGAGGCCAUUCCCCUACCCUUUGGCAUUCUGUAUCUACACAAAGGGCAGAGCAGCCAAGGUCUGUUAUAUAUUACUCUGAAAAUAUCCCACAAACAGUACAUAAAAGCCCCAUAUUUUGGUCAAAUCUAUUCUAGAAACAUACAUGCAAGUACAGAAUUAGACCAGUGGAAAUUAACUAAAGAGUUACAGAUGGCCCUGUAUAUAAAGCAGUACAAUAUAAGAGAGACCAUCUGGAAGUAUGUUUUGUCCUUAACUGGUUUUGGUUUUUAAAAAAAAAAAAAAAUCCUCCUUUCUGCUUUUCCUUUUCUAGCUGCAAGUUUUCACUGUGCAAUGAAACUGUGCUUGUUUUAGUUUCUGAAAAAAUGAGGACUUGAUCUAUACACCUGCCAAGCUGAGAAUCUGAAGUAGAGGUGCAGGCUAAAUAUUGAAGAAGCCAAUAUUUUAAGCAACAAACUUACCUGGUGAUGCUUGGGAUGUGUUUAAGGAGUACAGUUACAGAGUGAAUCCUUACUGAUUUUUCAUCAUUAAAUAUAUUUAAUAAAUAACUUGUUCAGGAAACAAGCAGAUAUUCUUGGAGUGAGAUGAAUGUAAUUAUUGUUGCUGACUUUAACUGGAACAACUUUUAAAUGUAAGCAUUAACCCAGCUUGUAAAAAAAGCACAUGGGCACCCACCUUGUCUUGCUACAAUUGCACAGCAUUUACACUACCAGAGUCAGGGGGGGAAUAGUGGGAUCAAACACAAAUAGUGAAACACUUUUGUACUGCACACUCAUAGCAAAAUGUCACCUGCUGAGGUGUAGUGAGGUAGAAAUUUGGUACUGGCUAGUGAAGAGGUACUGAGUCUCCUGGGACUGUCAGCCUUGCUUCAAGUACCACAUUUGCUGAUUUCUACAGUUUUCAACAUGGAUUAAAGGUCUACAGGUGUACUUAAACUAACAGUAAAAAAUAUUUAAUUAGCUUUCAUUUUCAGAGGAAUGACUUGCAAUGAAACAUAAGAGCAUAUUUUUCCUAUCCUGAAGUACGGUAAUAAGUCUCAUUAGCAUAAAUGUCCCAUUAGCAACAUUGAAUGCGGUAUGGUUUAGAUUAUAUUCCCAGGCUAACAUGUUAUGGCCCUGGACAAAUAAAACCAAAAUAAAUUAUAUCCAUCUUUCCAUAAAUUCCAUUAUAGCUUAAUUGUAAAAUUUUUUUCUCUUUUUUUUUUUUUUUUUAAUUUGCCAUUUUUUUAAUAUCCGAAUUGCUUGCAUGUGCUUUUUCCCUUCUUGCUUCUCCUCUGCUUUCCCUCUCUGAGUCAACACAGCCUGGCAAUUUGUCAUUAUGAUAGAUGAAAAUGGGGAGCAACUCAAUGAGUUAUUUUUUUUUUAGUUAGUUAAUAUAUCUGUAGCCCACAAUUAACAGUAUUACAUACCUAACACUAAAAUUACAUACUGCAUUUUCCUUACAUGCUGCUGCAUUACUCUUACAUUCACAUUUUUCCAUCACACAUACUAUGGAGCAAAGCCACAGUGUGUUCUUCUGUAUUAACAAAUCAGGGGGUCUUUCCCAUGUGGGGCGAACAAGCAGCAUCACUUGUUUUUUGUGAGACACACGCACUGCUACUGUAUCAGGUCAAGUGCUCUGUAACCUGCUUAUCAGCAAUUAACACUAGAUACAGUUUAAGAGAACAAUUCAAAAAUGGUUUUGAUUGAUUGCAACCAACUGGCAGUGUAAUUGCACUCAAGCCAUUAGGAAUCCAAUUGAACCCUGAUCGAGUACUUCAUUACUCCUGCUCUUUUCACAAGGGCACACCAUCCCAAGUAAUAUUUUACAUGUUAUAAAAGGUUAGGUUUGAAAAAUUAGCAUUACAAAUGUCACAUUUACUUCCAGCUGGAAAUGUGCAACAAUGUGUGACAAUACUGAAUAAAAUGUUGAAACAUGUUUUCCUUUUGUUUUACUUUACUCAUUUUUGUAAUACAACACUGGUUACUGGAAAAUGCCUUACAGCUUUAUUCAAAACACAUGUUCAAAGAUCUGAAUGAAAAAAAGCUUUGACUCUCUCUGGAACAUCUAACCAAUAUAUCAUUUAUGUGCUUCAAAUUUUUUUUUAGUGUCAAGAACACUUUUAUGUCUUUAAGAUUUAUUUAAAC